rnacentral:rRNA from 1 species
GACGAACGCUGGCGGCGUGCUUAACACAUGCAAGUCGAGCGGUAAGGCCCUUUCGGGGUACGACGAGCGGCGAACGGGUGAGUAACACGUGGGUGACCUGCCCUCCAGCUCUGGGAGUAAGCCCGGGAAACUGGGUCUAAUACCGGAUAUGACUCCAUGACGCAUGUUGUGGGGUGGAAAGCCUUGUGCGGCUGAGGAUGGGCCCGCGGCCUAUCAGCUUGUUGGUGGGGUGAGGCCUACCAAGGCGACGACGGGUAGCCGGCCUGAGAGGGCGACCGGCCACACUGGGACUGAGAUACGGGCCCAGACUCCUACGGGAGGCAGCAGUGGGGAAUCUUGCGCAAUGGGCGAAAGCCUGACGCAGCGACGCCGCGUGAGGGAUGACGGCCU